rnacentral:rRNA from 1 species
ACGAACGCUGGCGGCGUGGAUAAGACAUGCAAGUCGAACGAGAGAAUUGCUAGCUUGCUAAUAAUUCUCUAGUGGCGCACGGGUGAGUAACACGUGAGUAACCUGCCCCCGAGAGCGGGAUAGCCCUGGGAAACUGGGAUUAAUUCCGCAUAGUAUCGAAAGAUUAAAGCAGCAAUGCGCUUGGGGAUGGGCUCGCGGCCUAUUAGUUAGUUGGUGAGGUAACGGCUCACCAAGGCGAUGACGGGUAGCCGGUCUGAGAGGAUGUCCGGCCACACUGGAACUGAGACACGGUCCAGACACCUACGGGUGGCAGCAGUCGAGAAUCAUUCACAAUGGGGGAAACCCUGAUGGUGUGACGCCGCGUGGGGGAAUGAAGGUCUUCGGAUUGUAAACCCCUGUCAUGUGGGAGCAAAUUAAAAAGAUAGUACCACAAGAGGAAGAGACGGCUAACUCUGUGCCAGCAGCCGCGGUAAUACAGAGGUCUCAAGCGUUGUUCGGAAUCACUGGGCGUAAAGCGUGCGUAGGCUGUUUCGUAAGUCGUGUGUGAAAGGCGCGGGCUCAACCCGCGGACGGCACAUGAUACUGCGAGACUAGAGUAAUGGAGGGGGAACCGGAAUUCUCGGUGUAGCAGUGAAAUGCGUAGAUAUCGAGAGGAACACUCGUGGCGAAGGCGGGUUCCUGGACAUUAACUGACGCUGAGGCACGAAGGCCAGGGGAGCGAAAGGGAUUAGAUACCCCUGUAGUCCUGGCAGUAAACGGUGCACGCUUGGUGUGCGGGGAAUCGACCCCCUGCGUGCCGGAGCUAACGCGUUAAGCGUGCCGCCUGGGGAGUACGGUCGCAAGAUUAAAACUCAAAGAAAUUGACGGGGACCCGCACAAGCGGUGGAGUAUGUGGCUUAAUUCGAUGCAACGCGAAGAACCUUACCUGGGCUUGACAUGUAAUGAACAACAUGUGAAAGCAUGCGACUCUUCGGAGGCGUUACACAGGUGCUGCAUGGCCGUCGUCAGCUCGUGUCGUGAGAUGUUUGGUUAAGUCCAGCAACGAGCGCAACCCCUGUUGCCAGUUACCAGCACGUGAAGGUGGGGACUCUGGCGAGACUGCCCAGAUCAACUGGGAGGAAGGUGGGGACGACGUCAGGUCAGUAUGGCCCUUAUGCCCAGGGCUGCACACGUACUACAAUGCCCAGUACAGAGGGGGCCGAAGCCGCGAGGCGGAGGAAAUCCUGAAAACUGGGCCCAGUUCGGACUGUAGGCUGCAACCCGCCUACACGAAGCCGGAAUCGCUAGUAAUGGCGCAUCAGCUACGGCGCCGUGAAUACGUUCCCGGGUCUUGUACACACCGCCCGUCACAUCAUGGAAGCCGGUCGCACCCGAAGUAUCUGAAGCCAACCGCAAGGAGGCAGGGUCCUAAGGUGAGACUGGUAACUGGGAUG